CCCUUAGAUGUUCGGGGCCGCACGCGCGCUACACUGAAGGACUCAGCGUGUCUCUCCCCCUAUCCCGAAAGGGAUGGGCAACCCGUUGAACCUCCUUCGUGCUAGGGAUUGGGGUUUGCAAUUAUCCCCCAUGAACGAGGAAUUCCCAGUAAGCGCGAGUCAUCAGCUCGCGUUGAUUACGUCCCUGCCCUUUGUACACACCGCCCGUCGCUACUACCGAUUGGAUGGUUUAGUGAGACCCUCGGAUCGGUCCCGACUCGGGGUGGGCUUCUGCCCCGGUCGUGGUUUCGCCGAGAAGACGGUCAAACUUGGCUAUCUAGAGGAAGUAAAAGUCGUAACA
rnacentral:rRNA from 1 species